rnacentral:rRNA from 1 species
UUACCGAGUUCUCGCAACUCCCAAACCCCCUGUGAACACUACCUACGUUGCCUCGGCGCGGGGGCCGGCGCGAGCCUCUCCCCCCCCGCCGGCGGCCUACCUAUCAAAUUCUUGUCUCUUACCUGAGCUCUGAAACUAUACAAACAGAAUACGUUAAAACUUUCAACAACGGAUCUCUUGGUUCUGGCAUCGAUGAAGAACGCAGCGAAAUGCGAUAAGUAAUGUGAAUUGCAGAAUUCAGUGAAUCAUCGAAUCUUUGAACGCACAUUGCGCCCGCUGGCAUUCCAGCGGGCAUGCCUGUUCGAGCGUCAUUUCGACCACUUAAGCCCUUUGUUGCUUAGCGUUGGGAGCCUACCGCGGGCGGCCUCGGCCGCUGCGGUCGCUCCCCAAAGUCAGUGGCGGAGCCGGGUUCGUGCUCUAGGCGUAGUAGAAUCUUCCAUCUCGCCUGCAGCCGGGACCGGUCCCCUGCCGUAAAACACCCCACUUCUUUCAAUGGUUGACCUCGGAUCAGGUAGGAAUACCCGCUGAACUUAAGCAUAUCAAUAAGCGGAGGAAAAGAAACCAACAGGGAUUGCCUCAGUAACGGCGAGUGAAGCGGCAACAG